AGCAGUCAAGAAUAUUAGUCAAUGCUCGCAAGAGUGAACUAGCUAACUGAAAUCACAAGAUCCACUACGUGUGGUGAAUGUAAUAACGUAAGGGAAAAAAAUGAUAUUACCUUACUAUUAGUGUUGUCCAAAACUGGUGCCAGAAGACUCGGUAAGGCCAGAGACGCAAACGUUAGUCGUCUUAAUCAGGCGUAAAGGGUAUGUAGGCUGUUUUAAAAAUUUUAAAAUAAUAUAGCAAUAUAAAUAUAUUUAAUUUUAUAUUUAUAUAAAAAAUAAAAUGAAUUAAACUAGAAUCAAAUUGAGGAUAAAUCAAAUAAUACCUAGUGUAGGGUUUGAAUCUGACGAUAUUAGGUAGAGUACUAAUGGUGAAAACUUUUUAUCUAGAAAUGAUUGACGCUGAGAAACGAAGGUGAGAAUAGGAAAUAGGAUUAGAUACCCAGAUACCUCUCACAGUCAACGAUGAAUGGUGGUUGUUAGUUAGUUUAUAUUUAACUGAUAACGAUGUUAACACGAUAACCAUUCCGCCUUGCGAGUACGGUUGCAAAACUGAAACCAAAAAAAUUAGUCGGUCUCGAAGCAAACGAAGUGAAGCAUGUUAUUUAAUU
rnacentral:rRNA from 1 species